GACGAACGCUGGCGGCGUGCUUCAUACAUGCAAGUCGAGCGGGGUCCAUCUUGUGGCAACACGAGGGAAGACCUAGCGGCGAACGGGUGAGUAACACGUGACCAAUCUGCCCUGCACACCGGGAUAAGUUCGGGAAACCGGGUCUAAUACCGGAUACCCUCAUGAAUUCACAUGGGUACAUGAGGAAAGGUCCGCUGGUGCAGGAUGAGGUCGCGGCCUAUCAGCUUGUUGGUGAGGUAAUGGCUCACCAAGGCUACGACGGGUAGCUGGCCUGAGAGGGCGAACAGCCACACUGGGACUGAGAUACGGCCCAGACUCCUACGGGUGGCAG
rnacentral:rRNA from 1 species